rnacentral:rRNA from 1 species
AUUGAACGCUGGCGGCAUGCCUUACACAUGCAAGUCGAACGGUAACAGGUCUUCGGAUGCUGACGAGUGGCGAACGGGUGAGUAAUACAUCGGAACGUGCCUAGUAGUGGGGGAUAACUACUCGAAAGAGUGGCUAAUACCGCAUGAGAUCUACGGAUGAAAGCAGGGGAUCGCAAGACCUUGUGCUACUAGAGCGGCCGAUGGCAGAUUAGGUAGUUGGUGGGAUAAAAGCUUACCAAGCCGACGAUCUGUAGCUGGUCUGAGAGGACGAUCAGCAACACUGGACUGAGACACGGCCCAGACUCCUGCGGGAGGCAGCAGUGGGGAAUUUUGGACAAUGGGCGAAAGCCUGAUCCAGCAAUGCCGCGUGCAGGAUGAAGGCCUUCGGGUUGUAAACUGCUUUUGUACGGAACGAAAAGCCCCGGGUUAAUACCCUGGGGUCAUGACGGUACCGUAAGAAUAAGCACCGGCUAACUACGUGCCAGCCGCCGCGUAA